rnacentral:rRNA from 1 species
ACGACCGGCGCACGGGUGAGUAACACGUAUGCACCUUCCUCUAACUGGAGAAUAGCCCGAAGAAAUUCGGAUUAAUACUCCAUAAAGUCAAUUUAAUGCAUCUUUUAUUGAUUAAAGCUCCGGCGGUUAGAGAUGGGCAUGCGUGUCAUUAGCUAGUUGGUGAGGUAACGGCUCACCAAUGCCACGAUGACUAGGGGGUCUGAGAGGAUGAUCCCCCACACUGGUACUGAGACACGGACCAGACUCCUACGGGAGGCAGCAGUGAGGAAUAUUGGGCAAUGGACGCAAGUCUGACCCAGCCAUGCCGCGUGCAGGAUGACUGCCCUAUGGGUUGUAAACUGCUUUUGUUUGGGAAGAAACCCCCGAUCGUGAUCGGGGCUGACGGUACCAUACGAAUAAGCAUCGGCUAACUCCGUGCCAGCAGCCGCGGUAAUACGGAGGAUGCAAGCGUUAUCCGGAUUCAUUGGGUUUAAAGGGUGCGCAGGCGGAAUAUUAAGUCAGUGGUGAAAUCCUGCAGCUUAACUGUAGAACUGCCAUUGAUACUUGAUAUUCUUGAAUAUAGUUGAGGUGGGCGGAAUGUGUAAUGUAGCGGUGAAAAUGCUUAGAUAUUACACAGAACACCAAUUGCGAAGGCAGUUCACUAAACUAAUAUUGACGCUGAGGCACGAAAGCGUGGGUAGCAAACAGGAUUAGAUACCCUGGUAGUCCACGCUGUAAACUAUGAUCACUCGCUGUUUGGCAAUACAUCGUCAGCGGCUGAGCGAAAGCAUUAAGUGAUCCACCUGGGGAGUACGGUCGCAAGAUUGAAACUCAAAGGAAUUGACGGGGGCCCGCACAAGCGGAGGAACAUGUGGUUUAAUUCGAUGAUACGCGAGGAACCUUACCUGGGCUUAAAUGCAGAGCGACGUCCGCCGAAAGGUGGAUUCCUUCGGGCGAUCUGCAAGGUGCUGCAUGGUUGUCGUCAGCUCGUGCCGUGAGGUGUCGGGUUAAGUCCCAUAACGAGCGCAACCCUUAUCGUUAGUUGCCAGCGGGUAAUGCCGGGGACUCUAACGAAACUGCCGGUGUAAACCGUGAGGAAGGUGGGGAUGACGUCAAAUCAGCACGGCCAUUAUGUCCAGGGCUACACACGUGUUACAAUGGUCGGUACAGAGGGCAGCUACCACGCAAGUGGAUGCUAAUCUCGAAAACCGGUCUCAGUUCGGAUUGAAGUCUGCAACUCGACUUCAUGAAGCUGGAUUCGCUAGUAAUCGCGCAUCAGCCAUGGCGCGGUGAAUACGUUCCCGGGCAUUGUACACACCGCCCGUCAAGCCAUG